CAGUAGCCGCGGGAAUACGUAGGUGGCAAGCGUUGUCCGGGAUUAUUGGGCGUAAAGGGCUCGCAGGCGGUUUCUUAAGUCUGAUGUGAAAGCCCCCGGCUCAACCGGGGAGGGUCAUUGGAAACUGGGAAACUUGAGUGCAGAAGAGGAGAGUGGAAUCCCACGUGUAGCGGUGAAAUGCGUAGAGAUGUGGAGGAACACCAGUGGCGAAGGCGACUCUCUGGUCUGUAACUGACGCUGAGGAGCGAAAGCGUGGGGAGCGAACAGGAUUAGAUACCCCCGUAGUCCCUGUCUCUUAUAC
rnacentral:rRNA from 1 species